CGUGGACUACAGUCCAGACAGGGUUGGGGGAUUAACAUAGUUGGAACAAAUCUACCAUAAUGCAUUUGUUUGUACUUUUAUUCUUGGAAGGUGCAAGGAAUCUCGGAAGCGAUUAAGCCUAAGAAGGAAAGUAGAACGCGGAGAAAAUGAGCGUUGUGACAGUGCACCUGUGUAAUCAAUAUCAUGCCAACGUCACUCCCUACCAAACAAAAAGCGGCGCGUGUAUCUCUCAGCACUGCUCAUUUUCAGCCUCUUUUUACUCCACAACCUUACCUGUUCUGUUCCAUAUACUUACUUCCGAUUCUCUCUCAAACGCCAUUUUGAGAUUGUCAUCUUCUCUCUCCCAACAUGCAUUACAUUUAGAUCCAACAACAUUCUUCACCUCAAUUCCUCUGCCUGCAUUUUCAUCAUCAUCUUCAAUUCUCAGAUUCUCAUCCAUCACCACACCAAACUCACAAACAUGUCCAUCACCUUCAAUCUUUCAACCCCUUUAACUCCUGCUGCAUUCAUUUACAUUCUCAAACACCAUUCAUCUUCCAUCACAUUUCCCAAUUGAUUCAUUUCCUUCCACAAUUCCCAUUCAUCUCAAUCCCUCCACCAUGGAAGAAUCCGCACCCCAACCACCGCUGCACAACCACCCCGGUUAUCAACCCCAACCCCAAUCACCUCUACCCGACUCCCCCGCUCACGGAGACCGUAACUCCCUACCCGAACAGCCUCUACCCAAACCCCCCGGUCAUGGAGACCCCAAGUCUCAACCCAGACCAAGGCUAGAGAAACCCCCCGCCUACCGAGACCCCCACUUCAAACCGCCGCCUGGGCCGCAGCGAAAGGCCGUCCUCCCACCCUCCUUCCAGCCGAGACCAAAGCGCCGCCGGCGCUUCUGCCGCGUAUGCUGCUGCACCUUCUGCAUCAUCUUCCUCAUCAUCUUCCUCGUCCUCGUCAUCGCCGCCGCCGCCUUCUACCUCUUGUACGACCCCGCCCUGCCGGCGUUCCGCCUCAGCUCCUUCCGCGUCCCCAUGCUCAACGUCUCCAACGGCAACGACGGGGCCUACCUCGACGCCGACACGACUGCGCGGGUGGAGGUGCGGAACCGGAGUGGCAAGAUGUCGUGGCACUUCGGGAAGAGCAAGGUGUCGGUGUCGGCGGAUGACGGGAACCUGAGUCUGGGGUCGUCGACGGUGGCGGGGUUCGUGGUGGAGCACAAGGGCUUGGCGCAGGUGAAGGCGGCGACGAAAGUGAGGAAGCUUGCAUUGGAAGAUAGGCAGAUGAGAAAGCUUAAGGGCAAGGUGGAGAGCAAAGCGUUGACCCCCACUGUGGAGAUUCAAACCAAAACCAGUGUGGGCUUGCAGGGUUGGAAGUCACCCUCCAUCGCCGUCACUAUCGUAUGCGGAGGUGUCACCAUGAGAAGACUUGAAAACGGAGACCCUCCCCUUUGCUCCAUCACUCUCCUCAAAUGGAUCAAAAUACGAUGAGUUGGUUGGAGAUGUGUUCUAUACUCAUGGCGGACUGAUAUGUUCACUGCGUGCGAUUUAGAGGAAUCAUAAAAUGUUCACUGUCUACUUUUGUGAAUCAGAAGAAAACCACAAUGUGAUGGAGCACCUGGAUCAGUGGAGUAACUCAGUUUUUCCCACUUGUAAAUUAACUAGAACUAGAGUAACUAGAAAUGAGUCAUCCGAUGGCAAAUUAGAUACCAGUUAUGGUAGCUUUUUAAGGUGUAACGUAUCAUUCUCAUUGGUAAACAAUGGUAGAAAGAGAACUUAAAGCCCAUAGCUACCCUGUGCCUAAUUAUUUUGGUGUAAAGUAAUAAUGCAUUUUGGGUUUAAUUUCCCUGUCAUGGAAAGCUUUGCGUUUUACAUGCAUAAUAUUGGGUUACACGAAUACUUUUUCCUUUAUAAAAAAACUAGGUAUUAGGCCACAUGCUGCAGCAACUUGCAUGUGUUGUUUUCACUUCCUUAACUUUUCCCAUAGAAAAUUGGACAAAAAUAUCUGACCUAUAUAGCCUUCUGGAUA